rnacentral:lncRNA from 1 species
GCUAAUUAUUCCCUGCUGCCUGGCAAAGCCCUUCUGAGUUCUCUACCAGUUCCCAUGAAUUUGGGGUUUUCCUGUCUGCCUAGGGGACAGGUUACUCCCAUCCAGAUGUGAGCCCAACUCCCACUCAUUCCCUGUAAUUCUUUCCCACUCUUAGUCCGGUGGAGUUUGCACAGGCACGUACCGAUCUCCGGGCCACAAGUUCUCCAGGGCCUCACUGCCACACUUUCCUCUAGCUGCUCCAUCUUCACAGGCUAGAAACUUCUCUCACCUCACCCUUCCAACACCCAAUUCCAGCUUCCCAGAGGGGGAAAAAAACCCUUCAAAUAUGCCUGGGCUUCCUGAGUCUGUGUUUGGAUUCUUCCAGCAGCUCUGGAAAGUUAUCAGAUAAGUAUCUCUUCAAAUAUCAACCUCUCAGGCAGGAAUGGUGUCAUGCACCUGUCACCCUACCACUGGGGAGGCUGAGGCAGGAAAAGCACUUGGACCUGGGAGUUUGAAGCCAGCCUGGACAACACAGAAAGAUUCCUUUCUAAAAAAUUAUUCUCCCCAUUCUCAUUUUGUCCAAUUCUCUCUGUUUUAUACGUGUAUUUUACUCUCCUUUUAUUAUCUUAUUAUCUUUUUUUUUUUUUUGCACCAGGGAUCAAACUCAGGACCUUGCGCUUGUGAGGCAGGCACCAGAACCACUGAGCUAAAUCCCCGCCUUAUUAUCUUUUUUUAACUUCUAUUCUGGACAAUUUAUUCUUAUCUAUCUUCUAAUUUCUGAACAUUUUGUGUUUGUUUGUUUUGUUUUGUUUUUCUUUUUGUUUGCAGUAAUGGGAUUGAAUUUAGGGCCUUUGCACUGGGCUCCAUCCUCUCUCACGCCUUUAUUUUUUGAGACAGGGUCUCCCUAAAUUGCUCAGGCUGGGCUGAAACUUGUGAUCCUCCUGCCUCAGCCUUCCAGGGUGCUGGGAUAACAGGUGUGUGUGUGUGUGUGUGUGUGCGCGCGCCACAUUAAAAUCUAUAUGUUGAGUUUUAAAUGGUGGUUACUAUGUUUUCAUUUUGGAAAUUUCAUUCUGUCUUUUUGAAAUCUACUACAUAAUGUCAUAAACUCUAUCUGGCUCCCUGCAAAUAUUAAACUUGCCUCCUUAGGUUUUUUUUUUUUUAAAUAAUGUGUAACUUUAUUAUCAUUCACUAAACACACACAUAUACAAAACUUAAAAUUAUUCAAAGAACAGCAAUGCAAGGG